rnacentral:rRNA from 1 species
GAUGAACGCUAGCGGGAGGCCUAACACAUGCAAGCCGAGCGGUAUUGUUUCUUCGGAGAUGAGAGAGCGGCGUACGGGUGCGUAACACGUGUGCAACCUGCCUUUAUCUGGGGGAUAGCCUUUCGAAAGGAAGAUUAAUACUCCAUAAUAUAUUGAACGGCAUCGUUUAAUAUUGAAAGCUCCGGCGGAUAGAGAUGGGCACGCGCAAGAUUAGCUAGUUGGUGAGGUAACGGCUCACCAAGGCGAUGAUCUUUAGGGGGCCGGAGAGGGUGGUCGCCCACACUGGUACUGAGACACGGACCAGACUCCUACGGGAGGCAGCAGUGAGGAAUAUUGGUGAAUGAGUUCAAGCCUGAACCAGCCAUCCCGCGUGAAGGACGACUGCCCUAUGAGUUGUAAACUUCUUUUGUAUAGGGAUAAACCUACCCUCGUGAGGGUAGCUGAAGUUACUAUGCGAAUAAUCACCGGCUAACUCCGUGCCAGCCGCCGCCGUAA